rnacentral:rRNA from 1 species
GACGAACGCUGGCGGCGUGCUUAACACAUGCAAGUCGAACGGAAAGGCCCUGCUUUUGUGGGGUGCUCGAGUGGCGAACGGGUGAGUAACACGUGAGUAACCUGCCCUUGACUUUGGGAUAACUUCAGGAAACUGGGGCUAAUACCGGAUAGGAGCUCCUGCUGCAUGGUGGGGGUUGGAAAGUUUCGGCGGUUGGGGAUGGACUCGCGGCUUAUCAGCUUGUUGGUGGGGUAGUGGCUUACCAAGGCUUUGACGGGUAGCCGGCCUGAGAGGGUGACCGGCCACAUUGGGACUGAGAUACGGCCCAGACUCCUACGGGAGGCAGCAGUGGGGAAUAAUGCACAAUGGGGGGAAGCCUGAUGCAGCAACGCCGCGUGCGGGGUGGCGGCCUUCGGGCUGUAAACCGCUUUCGCCUGCGACGAAGCGUGGGUGACGGUAAUGGGUAAAGAAGCACCGGCUAACUACGUG